UGGGGAAUAUUGCACAAUGGAGGGAACUCUGAUGCAGCGACGCCGCGUGAGUGAUGAAGGAAUUCGUUUCGUAAAACUCUGCUCUAGGGGAAGAAAAGGACUGUACCAUAGGAGAAAGCACCGGCUACAUACGUGCCAGCAGCCGCGGUAAUACGUAUGGAGCGAGCGUUGUCCGGAAUUAUUGGGCGUAAAGGGUGCGCAGGCGGCAUUACAAGUUGGAUGUGAAAUAUUGUGGCUCAACCACAAACGUGCAUCCAAAACUGCAAAGCUUGAGUUAAGGAGAGGUAAGUGGAAUUCCUGGUGUGGCGGUGGAAUGCGUAGAUAUCAGGAGGAAUACCGGUGGCGAAGGCGACUUACUGGACUUAAACUGACGCUCAGGCACGAAAGCGUGGGGAGCAAACAGG
rnacentral:rRNA from 1 species